AGACAGCCAGGAUGUUGGCUUAGAAGCAGCCAUCAUUUAAAGAAAGCGUAAUAGCUCACUGGUCGAGUCGGCCUGCGCGGAAGAUGUAACGGGGCUAAGUAGUAAACCGAAGCUGCGGCAAUAUACUUUUGUAUAUUGGGUAGGGGAGCGUUCUGUAAGCGGUUGAAGGUGUGUGGUAACGCAUGCUGGACGUAUCAGAAGUGCGAAUGCUGACAUGAGUAACGAUAAAGGGGGUGAAAAACCUCCUCGCCGGAAGACCAAGGGUUCCUGUCCAACGUUAAUCGGGGCAGGGUAAGUCGACCCCUAAGGCGAGGCCGAAAGGCGUAGUCGAUGGGAAACGGG
rnacentral:rRNA from 1 species